rnacentral:rRNA from 1 species
GAACGCUGGCGGCAUGCUUUACACAUGCAAGUCGAACGGCAGCGGGGUAGUGCUUGCACUACUGUCCGGCGAGUGGCGAACGGGUGAGUAAUAUAUCGGAACGUACCGAGUAAUGGGGGAUAACCAAUCGAAAGAUUGGCUAAUACCGCAUACGUCCUAAGGGAGAAAGCGGGGGAUCGCAAGACCUCGCGUUAUUCGAGCGGCCGAUAACUGAUUAGCUAGUUGGUGGGGUAAAGGCCUACCAAGGCGACGAUCAGUAGCGGGUCUGAGAGGACGAUCCGCCACACUGGGACUGAGACACGGCCCAGACUCCUACGGGAGGCAGCAGUGGGGAAUUUUGGACAAUGGGGGCAACCCUGAUCCAGCCAUGCCGCGUGUAUGAAGAAGGCCUUCGGGUUGUAAAGUACUUUUGUUAGGGAAGAAAAGGGAAGUGCUAAUACCACUUUU